CUUUGAGAUGAUUCUGUAUUAUGAAAAGUGCUUGACAAAUGUAAUUUAUUAUUAUUAUUAUUAUUAUCUUAUUCAUCAUAGUUUAAAAGGCAAAACUGACUCUAGAUCAGCACUCCAACUAAGUGGGAAUACAGUAGUCCUGUGGCUCAGUUGGUAGAGUAUGGUGAAUGGGUCCCAAUGGGACCACCGGCAUGAAAGAUGUAUCCACACAUAAUAAGUCACUUUGGUUAAAAGUGUUUCUAAAUGGCAUAUCUUAUGAUAUAAUAAUAUCACUUAGUUGGACUAUACAGGUCCAGAUAUACAGGGUUUAUGUCAAACUUGUGUUCAGGUCCUCUUGGUUCUGGGUUUGUUGUGUUCAGGUCCUCUUGGUUCUGGGUUUGUUGAGUUCAGGUCCUCUUGGUUCUGGGUUUGUUGUGUUCAGGUCCUCUUGGUUCUGGGUUUGGUGUGUUCAGGUCUUCUUGGUUCUGGGUUUGUUGUGUUCAGGUCCUCUUGGUUCUGGGUUUGUUGUGUUCAGGUCCUCUUGGUUCUGGGUUUGUUGAGUUCAGGUCCUCUUGGUUCUGGGUUUGUUGUGUUCAGGUCCUCUUGGUUCUGGGUUUGUUGUGUUCAGGUACUCUUGGUUCUGGGUUUGGUGAGUUCAGGUCCUCUUGGUUCAGGGUUUGUUGUGUUCAGGUUCUCUUGGUUCUGGGUUUGUUGCGCUCAGGUCUUCUUGGUUCAGGGUUUGUUGUGUUCAGGUUCUCUUGGUUCUGGGUUUGGUGAGUUCAGGUCCUCUUGGUUCAGGGUUUGUUGUGUUCAGGUUCUCUUGGUUCUGGGUUUGUUGCGUUCAGGUCUUCUUGGUUCAGGGUUUGUUGUGUUCAGGUUCUCUUGGUUCUGGGUUUGUUGCGUUCAGGUCUUCUUGGUUCUGGGUUUGUUGCGUUCAGGUCUUUUUGGUUCUGGGUUUGUUGCGUUCAGGUCUUCUUGGUUCUGGGUUUGUUGCGUUCAGGUCUUCUUGGUUCUGGGUUUGUUGUGUUCAGGUCUUCUGGGUUUGUUGACUCUACUAUAGAUCUCAGAAGAGUCCUCCUCAGCUGCUUGUGCUGCCGUGGGUCUGAAGAGAGAGAAACAGAAAUUUAACAGAAU
ensembl:lncRNA